rnacentral:rRNA from 1 species
AGCGAACGCUGGCGGCAGGCUUAACACAUGCCAGUCGAGCGGGCACUUUCGGGUGUCAGCGGCGGACGGGUGAGUAACGCGUGGGAACGUGCCCUCUGGUUCGGAAUAACUCAGGGAAACUUGAGCUAAUACCGGAUACGCCCUUUUGGGGAAAGGCUUGCUGCCGGAGGAUCGGGCCGCGUCUGAUUAGCUAGUUGGUGAGGUAACGGCUGACCAAGGCGACGAUCAGUAGCUGGUCUGAGAGGAUGAUCAGCCACACUGGGACUGAGACACGGCCCAGAUUCCGACGGGAGGCAGCAGUGGGGAAUAUUGGACACUGGGCGCAAGCCUGAUCCAGCCAGGCCGCGUGAGUGAUGAAGGGCGUAGGGUUGUAAAGCUCUUUUAUCCGGGACGAUGAUGACGGUACCGGAGGAAUAAGCCCCGGCUAACUUCGU